GGCCGAGUGGCCCAAUGGCAAGGCGUCUGACUACGAAUCAGAAGAUUGUGGGUUCGAAUCCCAUCUUGGUCA